UCCCAACGUGGUGGAGGAUGAGAUUGAUC
rnacentral:piRNA from 1 species